GUGAAUGACCAUUUGGUCUACCUGUACAGCUAAUAAAAUCAAUAUACACCAACUGCCAUAUCUUUGUGAAUCUAAUGAGAGUCUAGCACUAUGCAUAAUGAUUAUGCUAACAGUAGUAGGACAAAUACACCCACAGGGAACAGGUGUUGGGGUUGGGGUGAGUUUUCCAAAAAGAAGUAAAAAGGUGACUCAGUUUUGGUCUCCUUUCAAUUGAAAUGGGUCAUACAUCUAUAGAUCUACAUCACCAAUUUGAUCCAACACCACAAACAAAAUCUUUUAUAUUCAUAAUUUGAUAUCCCCAUGAAUGUGCAUCAUUAAGUCAAGGUAAGGAGUCGAUUGCAGUACUGCUUGCUAGGUUAAAAUACCAUACUGUCCAACUCAACUCAACUCAACUCA
rnacentral:misc_RNA from 1 species